rnacentral:lncRNA from 1 species
AACUUGUUGAAUAAUUUGCUAAUUGAAAUUUAUAUUACUUAAUACUGUUUAGGUUGCAGGUGGCAAUAAUUCGAAUGACUCAUCUCCAAACAAUUAUUUUUCGAAUGCAAGUCACGAGCUUGGAGGGAACGAGAUUAUGUAUAGAUGUUGGAUUAGAUUAUGUAUUUUGGUUUACAUUCAAGCUUGGAGGGAACGAGAUUAUGUAUAGAUGUUGGAUAAGAUUAUGUAUUUUGGUUUACAUAUUAUGUUGAAUUAUAAAGUUUUUAAUAAUGCUAAAGAAUUGUGUUUCUU